rnacentral:rRNA from 1 species
GUAGGAGGCGAGCGUUAUCCGGAUUCACUGGGCGUAAAGCGCGUGCAGGUGGUUCGGUAAGUUAGGCGUGAAAUCUCCCGGCUCAACUGGGAGAGGUCGUCUAAUACUACCGAACUUGAGAGCAGAAGAGGAAGAUGGAAUUCCCGGUGUAGUGGUGAAAUGCGUAGAUAUCGGGAGGAACACCAGUGGCGAAGGCGAUCUUCUGGUCUGUUUCUGACACUCAGACGCGACAGCUAGGGUAGUAAACGGGAUUAGAGACCCCGGUGAUCCUAGCCGUAAACGAUGUGAACUUGGCGUUGGUGGGUUAAACUCCAUCAGUGCCGAAGCAAACGCGAUAAGUUCACCGCCUGGGGACUACGGCCGCAAGAUUA